rnacentral:rRNA from 1 species
UAGGGAAUAUUGGUUAAUGUGCGAAAGCGCGAACCAGCAACGCCGCGUGUGCGGUGAAGGCCUUCGGGUCGUAAAGCACUUUUUGCAGGGAAGAGGAAGGACGGUACCUGCAGAAUAAGUCUCGGCUAACUACGUGCCAGCAGCCGCGGUAAAACGUAGGGGACGAGCGUUAUCCGGAUUUACUGGGCGUAAAGCGCGUGCAGGCGGCAUGGCAAGUUGGAUGUGAAAGCUCCCGGCUUAACUGGGAGAGGUCGUUCAAUACUGCCAGGCUUGAGAGUGGUAGAGGGAAGCGGAAUUCCGGGUGUAGUGGUGAAAUGCGUAGAUAUCCGGAGGAACACCAGUGACGAAAGCGGCUUCCUGGCCCAUUUCUGACGCUCAGACGCGAAAGCUAGGGUAGCAAACGG